rnacentral:rRNA from 1 species
CCUACGGGUGGCUGCAGUGAGGAAUAUUGGUCAAUGGGCGGAAGCCUGAACCAGCCAAGUAGCGUGCAGGAUGAAGGCCCUACGGGUCGUAAACCGCUUUUGCAAGGGGAUAACACCCUCCACUUGUGGAGGUCUGCAGGUACCGUGCGAAUAAGGGCCGGCUAAUUCCGUGCCAGCAGCCGCGGUAAUACGGAAGUCCCGAGCGUUAUCCGGAUUUAUUGGGCUUAAAGGGAGCGUAGGGGGGCGUUCAAGUCAGCUGUAAAAUCGCGCGGCUCAACCGCGAACCGCAGUUGAUACUGGACGCCUUGAGUUCACAACAGGCAGGCGGAAUUCGUGGUGUAGCGGUGAAAUGCAUAGAUAUCACGAAGAACCCCGAUUGCGAAGGCAGCCUGCCGAGGUGCGACUGACGUUGAGGCUCGAAGGUGCGGGUAUCAAACAGGAUUAGAUACCCGAGUAGUC